rnacentral:rRNA from 1 species
CCUACGGGUGGCAGCAGUGAGGAAUAUUGGUCAAUGGGCGUAAGCCUGAACCAGCCAAGUCGCGUGAGGGAUGAAGGUUCUAUGGAUCGUAAACCUCUUUUAUACGGGAAUAAAGUGCGGGACGUGUCCCGUUUUGUAUGUACCUUAUGAAUAAGGAUCGGCUAACUCCGUGCCAGCAGCCGCGGUAAUACGGAGGAUGCGAGCGUUAUCCGGAUUUAUUGGGUUUAAAGGGUGCGUAGGCGGCCUUUUAAGUCAGCGGUGAAAGUCUGUGGCUCAACCAUAGAAUUGCCGUUGAAACUGGGGGGCUUGAGUGUGUUGGAGGUAGGCGGAAUGCGUGGUGUAGCGGUGAAAUGCUUAGAUAUCACGCAGAACCCCGAUUGCGAAGGCAGCAUGCCAAGCCAUGACUGACGCUGAUGCACGAAAGCGUGGGGAUCAAACAGGAUUAGAUACCCUAGUAGUC